rnacentral:rRNA from 1 species
ACUGGAGUUUGAUCCUGGCUCAGAUUGAACGCUGGCGGAAUGCUUUACACAUGCAAGUCGAACGGUAGAGGGGGCAACCCCUCGAGAGUGGCGAACGGGUGAGUAAUAUAUCGGAACGUGCCCAGUCGUGGGGGAUAACGUAGCGAAAGUUACGCUAAUACCGCAUACGAUCUAAGGAUGAAAGCGGGGGACCUAAGGCCUCGCGCGAUUGGAGCGGCCGAUAUCAGAUUAGGUAGUUGGUAGGGUAAAGGCCUACCAAGCCAACGAUCUGUAGCUGGUCUGAGAGGACGACCAGCCACACUGGAACUGAGACACGGUCCAGACUCCUACGGGAGGCAGCAGUGGGGAAUAUUGGACAAUGGGGCGAAAGCCUGAUCCAGCAAUGCCCGCGUGAGUGAUGAAGGCCUUAGGGUUGUAAAGCUCUUUUACCAGGGGAUGAUAAUGACAGUACCUGGAGAAUAAGCUCCGGCUAACUCCGUGCCAGCAGCCGCGGUAAUCUGAUGGCGCGAGGGAG